rnacentral:snoRNA from 1 species
UCGUCAGUGAGGUACAUCCUUACCUGUUCCCAGCCGGGGGCAGCACGUGAUGAUUGGAAAGCGCAUGAGACGUGAUUAGAGUCUCCGCAGCCGUGGUUUGCAAUGCCGCGGCCCGCUCCUGUCUGAU